GACGAACGCUGGCGGCGUGCUUAACACAUGCAAGUCGAACGGAAAGGCCCUGCUUUUGUGGGGUGCUCGAGUGGCGAACGGGUGAGUAACAUGUGAGUAACCUGCCCUUGACUUUGGGAUAACUUCAGGAAACUGGGGCUAAUACCGGAUAGGAGCUCCUGCUGCAUGGUGGGGGUUGGAAAGUUUCGGCGGUUGGGGAUGGACUCGCGGCUUAUCAGCUUGUUGGUGGGGUAGUGGCUUACCAAGGCUUUGACGGGUAGCCGGCCUGAGAGGGUGACCGGCCACAUUGGGACUGAGAUACGGCCCAGACUCCUACGGGAGGCAGCAGUGGGGAAUAUUGCACAAUGGGCGGAAGCCUGAUGCAGCAACGCCGCGUGCGGGAUGACGGCCUACGGGUUGUAAACCGCUUUCGCCUGUGACGAAGCGUGAGUGACGGUAAUGGGUAAAGAAGCACCGGCUAACUACGUG
rnacentral:rRNA from 1 species